rnacentral:lncRNA from 1 species
AAUAAUAAUGAUAAACUAGCUAGCUAGCCUUUUGGAUGUAUUUUUUUCUUGUCUUCACUGAAAGGAAAAGCGAAAGUUUUCCCUAACUUAUUACAUGCCAUGGCUUUCACUGACUUGUGCUCUUUGGGUAACACACUCCCAUUCUUAGGUUUAAAAGGAAAUACCCCAUUGCUUUUUUCACCUCCAUCAUCUCCCAUAUUGCCUUCUUUUCCCUUUGCUUUGUUUUCUUCUCUCUCUCUCUUAAAAAGUAAGACCCAGUACAAUACCACUCAGUGAUGUCUGGGAGGGUAGUGUGUACGCGCCUUACCCCUACCCUAGGUAGAGAGGCUAUUUCCAAAUAGACCCCCGGCAUAAAUCCCCAGAAUUUGCUCUUAGGGAGACUCGAACUCACAACCUCUCGGUUGUAAGUAAGGGUUGGUUACCAUCAGACCAAGCCCCUCUUGUCUCUCUCUCUUGUGAGCUUUAUAUAUAGUUUUUAGUGUUUCUGCAUGUUGUUUACACUUCAAUCUAUCCCAAAUCAUUAUAUAGAGCAAGGGAGCAUAAGCUGCAGCUUCUUCUGCAAUUUUCCAUCUUUUAAGUUCUUUUUUUUUUUUGGUUAAAUAUUUUGGUUGGAACUUAGGUAACAUUGAAAGGGGACAUUUAUUGACUAUAUAGUCUUCUCGAAUAAUGUAUAUAUUUCAUGGUUUGAUUCCAGUCUCAAAGACGACUAAAUGUUGAAUGGCAUCUUCUACUUCCCUUUUUGACCCUCCCCGAUGGAAAUGGAUUUCGGGAAUUUCGAUUAUAUUUGGACACAAUAAUUUAUUCCGUUAGUGUCUCCUCUAAGGGUAUUUCGGAUUGCGUUGUAAUUCAAAAUAGCACUAGAAUUUUCUUUUAUCUUUUGCAAUAAAUAAAUAUUCUGUUUUUUUUCAUUUUAGAAAUUUCAAAAAUAACUAAUUCUUCUUCCUCCUAUUCAUUGGCUAUUUUCAAAUUUUAAUUGAACACAUACCGAAGGUACCAUCCUUUACGAACUGGUGUUGUUUCAUUACCUUCGUUACGAGAGUUGCUGAUUGAAACAUCAUGUUGGGAUAAUUCUUCAUGACCCUCUAUGUUGUGUGUAUGUU